rnacentral:misc_RNA from 1 species
GUGAUAUUUAUAGAUGUAAUUGUGUUAUUAAUAAUAGCAGCACCAGUUUCACCAGUUGGAAUUACACCACUCCUGUUAGACACAUAUUUAGUCACUCCUUAUGUCUGGUUCAAUCAGAGCAGAGAGACAAACACAGCCAGAGCCUACAGAUUGUGUGAGCCAAAAUCUGAGGAAAUACGUCUCCCAAGGACUUUCCUGUUGUUAACUAACACAAACAACCGACUGACAGGAAACAUGGAGUCUCUUUCAAAUAAUAUCAACAUCUAACCCAAACCUAAUCAGCCCUCACCCUCUCUCCCUUGAUGAAGUCCCCAAAGCAAACAGACAGCUACCCAUCAAAAUUGUAUUGUCUUCAUAUUUUCAUUAUUAUUACCCUGUGUAGAGUUGUUGUUGUUGUUUGUUGUUCAAUGUACUGUUCUGCAACUGCUGUACCUUGGCCCAAGACAAAUUUCCCUAUAGGACAAUAUAGUAUAUUUGAUUUGAAAAUUGACUCUCAUUAGACUACGA